rnacentral:ncRNA from 2 species
UAUACCUGCUGGGGGAGCUUCGGCUGAGAGGAAACCCGGGCUUCGGGUUUCGACCCCUUGGACCUGACCAGGGUAAUGCCUGCGUAGGGAAGCAGUCCGGUAGCGGU